ACGUGGGGCUCUCUAACGACGAGUACAAUGUGAAUUUGAGUACAAUAUUCAUUUCUAAGACUAAAACGAGAGCGAUAAGCUUUAAUUUGCCGUUGGUUACGUAAACAACUUUCUGUUCUAUAUCAUAAGAUGCAAAUCAUCUCUAUUGGCUCACAAGAUACUCGUGAUGGAAGAGGUAAAAAGAUGUCCCGAAAAGUGACCUUUGAAGUGAUGAAACUGGUUGAAAAGAUUAAUAAAGAG